GAUUCUUCCCAAUUCUACCGCCACCAUUCUGGUUCAAGCUACCUGUAUUCAGCACAAUAACAUGAUAUACAGGUUUGUAGACUAGGAGCAACAGGCUACAUGAUAUAGCAUGGGUGACAAAGACUUUAAGCCAACUGUCUUAUGUAUGUUCAAAGAACUAAAGGAAACCAGGAAAAAAAUGUAUGAACAAAAUUAAGAGUACCAAUAAUGAGGCAGAAUUAUUAAAAGCCCAUCAAAUAGAAACUCAGGAACUGAAAAGUACAAUAACUAAAAUGAAAAUCUUUAGAGGGGCUUAAUGAAUUUGAGUACAAAGAAGAGUCAGCAAAUUUAAAGAUAGUAUAAUUUAAAUUAUCCAGUGUGUGUCUUGGUUUGAGUUCAGUCUAAAUCAAUCAAUCAAUCAAUCAAUCAAUCAUCCAGUAUGAGGAACAGAAAGAAAAAUGAAGAAAAGUAAACAGAGUCCAAGGGACCUGUGGGACAUCAUCAAGUGAACUAACAUAUGCAUUACAGGAGUCUCAAGAGGGGAAGUGAAAUAGGAUCAGAAAGAAUGUUUGAAGAAAUAAUGGUUGAAAAACUCCGAAAUUUGAUGAAAGAGGUGAAUCUACAUAUCCAAGAAGCUCAAUGAACUCUAAAGAGACCCACACUGAGACAUGUUAUAGUCCAACUGUCAAAAGCCAAAGACAAUGAAAACAACAAGAGAGAAACAACUCAUCACAUACAAGAGAGCCUUAAUAAAAUUACUAGCUGAUUUCUUAUAAAAAACCAUGGAGACCAGAAAAUAAGAAUGUCGAUCAAGAAUUCUAUAUCUGACAAAACUAUUCCUAAAGAAAUUCUCAGAUAAACAAAAG
rnacentral:antisense_RNA from 1 species